GAUGAACGCUGGCGGCGUGCUUAACACAUGCAAGUCGAACGGUGAAGCAGGAGCUUGCUCUUGUGGAUCAGUGGCGAACGGGUGAGUAACACGUGAGCAACCUGCCCCUGACUCUGGGAUAAGCGCUGGAAACGGCGUCUAAUACUGGAUAUGUGAUGUGACCGCAUGGUCUGCAUCUGGAAAGAAUUUCGGUUGGGGAUGGGCUUGCGGCCUAUCAGCUUGUUGGUGAGGUAAUGGCUCACCAAGGCGUCGACGGGUAGCCGGCCUGAGAGGGGGACCGGCCACACUGGGACUGAGACACGGCCCAGACUCCUACGGGAGGCAGCAGUGGGGAAUAUUGCACAAUGGGCGGAAGCCUGAUGCAGCAACGCCGCGUGAGGGAUGACGGCCUUCGGGUUGUAAACCUCUUUUAGCAGGGAAGAAGCGAAAGUGACGGUACCUGCAGAAAAAGCACCGGCUAACUACGUGCCAGCCGCCGCGGUAA
rnacentral:rRNA from 1 species